GCGGCAUGCCUAACACUGCAAGUCGAACGAGACCUUCGGGUCUAGUGGCGCACGGGUGCGUAACGCGUGGGAAUCUGCCCUUAGGUUCGGAAUAACAGUUAGAAAUGACUGCUAAUACCGGAUAAUGUCUUCGGACCAAAGAUUUAUUGCCUAAGGAUGAGCCCGCGUAAGAUUAGCUUGUUGGUGAGGUAAAGGCUCACCAAGGCGACGAUCUUUAGCUGGUCUGAGAGGAUGAUCAGCCACACUGGGACUGAGACACGGCCCAGACUCCUACGGGAGGCAGCAGUGGGGAAUAUUGGACAAUGGGCGAAAGCCUGAUCCAGCAAUGCCGCGUGAGUGAUGAAGGCCUUAGGGUUGUAAAGCUCUUUUACCCGGGAUGAUAAUGACAGUACCGGGAGAAUAAGCCCCGGCUAACUCCGUGCCAGCAGCCGCGGUAAUACGGAGGGGGCUAGCGUUGUUCGGAAUUACUGGGCGUAAAGCGUACGUAGGCGGCUUUGUAAGUUUGUCGUGAAAUCCCCGGGCUCAACCUGGGAAUGGCGAUGAAGACUGCAAGGCUAGAGUUUGGCAGAGGGGGGUAGAAUUCCACGUGUAGCAGUGAAAUGCGUAGAGAUGUGGAGGAACACCGAUGGCGAAGGCAGCCCCCUGGGUCAAAACUGACGCUCAUGCACGAAAGCGUGGGGAGCA
rnacentral:rRNA from 1 species